ACACCAAUGUUGACCGAUGUUGGCCUCCUGAGCCCGCUGCAGCUGGCGUUCUCGCAGGUGGAAGAAGAUGCUGCGGAAGAGGCGCCAGUCGUCGUUACGGUCCAGGUCGUGUAUCGGCAGAUGCAGAAGCGAACGCGCGUCUGGACCUGGUUCACUUGCG